rnacentral:misc_RNA from 1 species
ACCAGAGUCACCCCCGGAUCAGAAGGCUGUCGGGGUCGUGCCGGGCUCGAGCUGCGCCAGCCGCGGGCCUCAGAAGCGCUACGCUCGUGUCGUUUUGGGCCGGUCACCGCUGCGUCAGAAGUCUGCAAGGGCCGCUGCACUUCUGAAGAGGACAGCCGUUGGGGACAGGACGGGAGUGAGGAUUUAGCUCUCGUCAGCAGACGGACGGCCGGUAGUGCCGACAACAGCCAUGGCUCGGCUCGGUACGGCGCUGGUGCCGCUGCUGGUGCUGCUGGUGCCUCUGGUGCCAGCGCUGGCCGACCGGUGCCCCGGCGGAGAGCUGGCCUGCCCGGAGCCCAGCGUCUGCUGCCGUACCGACUCUCCCCAGCAGCCCUUCAUCUGCUGUCCCUAUCGGAACGGCGUCUGCUGCGGCGACGGGCGGCACUGCUGCCGAGAAGGUUUCACGUGCGACCUGUCGACCAGCCGAUGCGUGAAGCAGCCGCCGGAGCCGGGCCUGUGUCCGGACGGCAAGAGCCGGUGUCCGGCGGGCGCCACGUGCUGUCCGCUGGCUGACCACCGCUGGGGCUGCUGUCCGUACGCGCGCGCCGUCUGCUGCUCGGACAAGGUGCACUGCUGUCCCGAGGGCACUCAGUGUGACCUGCAGACACUCACCUGUCUGAAGAAAUCGGAGCAUCCGAUGAUGCAGUUCGCUGAAACGGAUAUGAAAGGCACGGAGGGACACAUUGGUCUCCAUGCCUGAGAUCUUCAGUGAAUGAAAAGUCCGGUGCUGCUCAUCCCAAGUUUAUAAAAGUCGCCAAGUCGAGCAGGGACACUGCCUGGCAUUUGCACCCCUGUAGGUCAAUACCUACGACUGUUAAACGCAAUCGGGGACCAAGACGCGUUAACCAAGCUUUCGGGUGUCGUUAUGUGUUUUCAGUUCAGAGACCCUUCUUGGUGAAGCCAGCGCGAUAAGUCAAAGGCGGAGUUAUCUGAUUAUCGCCGUUCCCAUUGUAACCCAGAAGUGAUUUAGAUCACUGAGGGCUAUUGCGGGGGCUGGGGGCAUUGACGACCAGUGAGGGCUAGGGCCAGUAAGAAUGAACCAAUGUCUCUGUACGGAGUAUCGUUUUGGCUCUUUGUGCAUGUCUUCCAUGUUAUUGUAUCCAGGCGCAGCCGCUUUGUUUUGACUGGAAGUCCUUGCAUAUCGCUUUUACCAUGAUAUACACCAGAAAUGCGUAAUUUG